rnacentral:lncRNA from 1 species
AAUGGGUGAUAUCUGGUGCAGUAGUUGGCAUGCAAGGGGGUACAGAAACUGUACGCCGUGUUUGGGAUAAACUGAGAACUUAUAAGGUUCCCAUUUCAGCAUUUUGGUUGCAGGUAAUGCACUUGCCUUUGUUCAAUACUGAAACUGACAGAAAACCACAAUUAUGGUAUGAGAUGAUUUGAAAAGAAAACUUUGGUCUGUUCAAAGAAACAUUAUUAAAAUUAGAACUCUAAAUACAAGUUUUCUGUCAGUUUGAUUUGAAGCUUUUGUGUUGUAGGAUUGGGUGGGGCAAAGGGAAACCUUUAUCGGAUCACAAUUAUGGUGGAACUGGGAAGUGGAUGUAACAAGGUAUCCUGGAUGGCAACAGUUGGUUAAAGAUCUUAGCAAACACUACAUCAAAGUGAUGACAUACUGCAAUCCUUGUUUAGCACUGGUGCUUCUUUGCUUCCUUUUGGCAAAGCCAUAGCUAUGAUUAAGCUAAAUAUGCACACUUAUCUUUUAUAAAGCACUACACUGUAGUUUGAUAACUGAUAUAAAGCUUGAAGCCUUAUUUGAGACUUUAUCUUCGUUUUACAGAUGGAUGAGAAGCCAAACAAAAGGCGAAAUCUCUUUGAGGAAGCGAAAGAGCUAGACAUUUUGGUGAAAGAUGAUCAUGGAGAACCAUACAUGGUUCCAAAUACAGCGUUUGAUGUAGGAAUGCUGGACUUGACUCACCCACUCACUGCAAAUUGGUUCAAGCAAAUUUUACAGGAAAUGGUGGAUGAUGGAGUUCGAGGAUGGAUGGCUGAUUUUGGUGAAGGUCUGCCUGUGGAUGCUGUACUCUAUUCAGGUUUCAAUCUCAACUGCUUUUGAACUAGUCUUCUUAUAUUGAAGCAUAAGUAAGCUAUACAUUUACCAGUCCACUCUAUAUGCUCUAUCAUUUUUGGUGGCAAUGACUUCAAUCAUCUCCAAGCUAGUUUGUCAUCUCAAAACUAAACUACAAUGUUUCAAGAUUUUAGUUGGCUAUCGUUUCCCAUGGUGACUUCCAGAAAUGUCAUUAGAUCACACCAUAGGAAAUUUCCCUUCAAUUUUAAUAACAAGCAUAGUAAAUGGUCCUUUUGCAAAGUGUUAUAGCCAUUCUGUGGUCAACAUCCUCAAAUCAAUUGCGUUCUUUCUUGUAGUAAACAUGAAAGUUUGUCGUCAGGAAAUUGCUUGUAUAAUCUCCUCAGCAGGCCAGAUGUUUACAUGAUGCUUUUUUUCUGGUAAAAGUAUGAUGGAGGCCCCUGUAUUGGGACUCAAAUUACAUUUUGCCCCCUCUACUAAAACAAUGUGCAAAUUAGUCUCUCUAUGUUUGAUCAAAGAGCAAAGUGGUCCUUCUGUUAAAAAUUUUAUCCAUUUUUAUUAUUCAAAAUUGUCCUGUGCAUUAGCGUGAUGUACAUGUGGUUCAUCAACCAUACUAGCUUUUAAUAGUACAAGUGGAUGAAAAUUUUAACAGAAAGGACUAUUUUGCUCUUUGAUUUAACAUAUAAGGACUAAUUUCCUCUUUUUUCGAGUAAAGGGGGUGAAAUACAAUCUUAAUCCUAGUACAGGGGCCUCGUGGUACUUUUACUGUUACUUUCCUCUUUUCCUAGCCCCCCUCCUCUCCUUUAUUCCUACUGUUUUCCUGUUGAACUAUAUCAAUAAGGAUAUACUCAUUCAUUUCAGGUGAAGAUCCUAUUGCUGCUCAUAACAGAUAUCCAGAACUAUGGGCUCAAAUAAAUCGAGAAUUUGUGGAAGAAUGGAAAAGUCAUUGCACGGGAAAGGAAAGAGAAGAUCCCCAAGAGGACUUGGUCUUCUUCAUGAGGGCUGGUUUCAGGGAUAGUCCAAAAUGGGGAAUGCUGUUUUGGGAAGGGGACCAAAUGGUAAGCUGGCAAGCUAAUGAUGGUAUAAAGAGUUCUGUUGUUGCCCUAUUGAGCAGUGGACUUUCCGGUUAUGCUUUUAACCAUAGUGAUAUCGGAGGCUAUUGUACCAUGAACUUACCUUUUAUUAGGUACUGUCGAACUGAAGAGUUGCUUUUGAGAUGGAUGGAGCUAAAUGCAUUCACCAUAAUUUUCCGUACUCAUGAGGUAAGUCAAAGUCCAUCCUGAAAUAUCGAAACACGAUAUUGUUAGUAACUGAUAUCAAUGUUUCUUCUGGUAGGGAAACAAGCCUUGGUGCAACAGUCAAUUUUACUCCAAUGACAAAACGUUAUCACAUUUUGCACGCUUUGCUAAAGUGUACAAAGCUUGGAAGUUUUACAGAGUCGAACUCGUAAAGGUAAAUGCCAGAAACAAGCAAGUUAUAUGUGCAAUGAUGCAACAAGCAACAUAUGUAAUGAUCUAACAAACCUCUUGCUGUCUUCGUUGUACACAAAACAAAUAGGAAGCGGCUCGAAAGGGAUCACCUGUCUGCCGUCACCUAUUUCUUCACUACCCAAAUGACGAGAGGGUUCAAAGCUUAAGUUACGAGCAGUUCUUGGUAGGCAGUGAGAUCCUAGUGGUUCCUGUUCUUCACAAAGGUAAGAAAAAUGUCAAAGUUCAUUUCCCAGUAGGAGAAACUUGUAGUUGGCAACAUAUUUGGACCGGAAAAUCAUACCAAAAACAAGGUUGUCAAGCUUGGGUUGAAGCUCCAUUAGGCUAUCCUGCUGUAUUUGUUAAGGUUGACUCUAUAGUCGGAGAAACUUUUC